GAUGAAGAACGCAGCGAAAUGCGAUAACUAAUGUGAAUUGCAGAAUUCCGUGAAUCAUCGAGUCUUUGAACGCACAUUGCGCCCCCUGGUAUUCCGGGGGGCAUGCCUGUCCGAGCGUCAUUGCUGCCCAUCAAGCACGGCUUGUGUGUUGGGUCCUCGUCCCCCCCGGGGGACGUGCCCGAAAGGCAGCGGCGGCACCGCGUCCGGUCCUCGAGCGUAUGGGGCUUUGUCAUCCGCUCUGCAGGCCCGGCCGGCGCUGGCCGACGCGAAAGCAACCAUUUUUUCUCCAGGUUGACCUCGGAUCAGGUAGGGAUACCCGCUGAACUUAAGCAUACAAUAAGCGGAGGA
rnacentral:misc_RNA from 1 species